rnacentral:rRNA from 1 species
UACGGAGGGGGCUAGCGUUGUUCGGAAUUACUGGGCGUAAAGCGCACGUAGGCGGAUCAGUAAGUUAGAGGUGAAAGCCCAGGGCUCAACCCUGGAACUGCCUUUGAUACUGCUAGUCUAGAGAUCGAGAGAGGUGAGUGGAAUUCCGAGUGUAGAGGUGAAAUUCGUAGAUAUUCGGAGGAACACCAGUGGCGAAGGCGGCUCACUGGCUCGAUACUGACGCUGAGGUGCGAAAGCGUGGGGAGCAAACAGG